rnacentral:rRNA from 1 species
UAGUAACACGUACUUAAUCUACCUUUUAGACUGGAAUACCCACAUGGAAACAUUGGUUAAUGCCGGAUGCGCAUGAGAUCGCAUGAUCGAGGUGUGAAAGGGGCCUCUAAAGCCCCACUAAGAGAUGAGGGUGCGGAACAUUAGCUAGUUGGUAAGGUAAUGGCUUACCAAGGCUAUGAUGUUUAGCCGGGUCGAGAGACUGAACGGCCACAUUGGGACUGAGAUACGGCCCAAACUCCUACGGGAGGCAGCAGUAGGGAAUAUUCCACAAUGAGCGAAAGCUUGAUGGAGCGACACAGCGUGCACGAUGACGGUCUUCGGAUUGUAAAGUGCUGUUAUAAGGGAAGAACACUUAGUUGAGGAAAUGCUUCUAAGCUGACGGUACCUUGUCAGAAAGCGAUGGCUAACUAUGUGCCAGCAGCCGCGGUAAUACAUAGGUCGCAAGCGUUAUCCGGAAUUAUUGGGCGUAAAGCGUUCGUAGGCUGUUUGUUAAGUCUGGAGUCAAAGCCCGGGGCUCAACCCCGGUCCGCUUUGGAUACUGGCAAACUAGAGUUAGAUAGAGGUAAGCGGAAUUCCAUGUGAAGCGGUGAAAUGCGUAGAUAUAUGGAAGAACACCAAAGGCGAAGGCAGCUUACUGGGUCUAUACUGACGCUGAGGGACGAAAGCGUGGGGAGCAAACAGGAUUAGAUACCCUGGUAGUCCACGCCGUAAACGAUGAUCAUUAGUCGGUGGAGAAUUCACUGACGCAGCUAACGCAAUAAUGAUCCGCCUGAGUAGUAUGCUCGCAAGAGUGAACUUAAAGGAAUUGACGGGACCCGCACAGCGGUGGAGCAUGUGUU